CGAAUUUGAUUUGUAUAGUUUUGUUUUAUCAUUAUCGAUUCGUUCAAGAUCUAUUUUGACACUAUUUUCAAUUUUCAUCCAUACUCAUUAUACCUGAAAUGAGUAUCAACUUUGAAUUUUGAACCAGCAAUCCCUUCUUUCAAUCACAGAUUCAAAUAGAAAGAUUUUCUCCAGAAAUGCUGAUACGCUUAAAUUUAAUCUGAUAAUAAUACCAGAUUCAGAUUUACCGCUUAUGAGUUACAACAGUUUAAUAACGUUUACACUGGAGAAGUAUAGAAGGAUAAUAAAUUGCAUACCUACCGCUUGCUGGUUCGUGAUAAAAAAAAUCACCUUGCAUACUUGGGUACCUUUUUAUUUUUAUACAAAUGUAUUUUGGUAUUGCAUUUUGUCAAAAUAUGCGUAUCUAAGGUAAUAUUUUGUCUGAUCUACGGCAGUAAAAUUCAUUUUCGUUUUAAAAAUGCAAUACGAUAAUAUUUUUUACCAAGAUUUAAACAUUUUUUCGUUUUCCCUCCCCCACUAUCUCCGCCCAUUUUGCGAGGUCGUAUUUAGCCUCCCACCCUCCUCUAAAUUCAAAAUCCUCAUUACGCCACUGUGUGGUAAGUAUAAAUUAUUAUUGUAGUGUAAACUCGUA